rnacentral:rRNA from 1 species
AAUAGAUACCCGGGUAGUCCACGCCGUAAACGAUGUCGACUUGGAGGUUGUUCCCUUGAGGAGUGGCUUCCGGAGCUAACGCGUUAAGUCGACCGCCUGGGGAGUACGGCCGCAAGGUUAAAACUCAAAUGAAUUGACGGGGGGCCCGCACAAGCGGUGGAGCAUGUGGUUUAAUUCGAUGCAACGCGAAGAACCUUACCUACUCUUGACAUCCAGAGAACUUAGCAGAGAUGCUUUGGUGCCUUCGGGAACUCUGAGACAGGUGCUGCAUGGCUGUCGUCAGCUCGUGUUGUGAAAUGUUGGGUUAAGUCCCGCAACGAGCGCAACCCUUAUCCUUUGUUGCCAGCGGUUCGGCCGGGAACUCAAAGGAGACUGCCAGUGAUAAACUGGAGGAAGGUGGGGAUGACGUCAAGUCAUCAUGGCCCUUACGAGUAGGGCUACACACGUGCUACAAUGGCGUAUACAAAGAGAAGCGACCUCGCGAGAGCAAGCGGACCUCAUAAAGUACGUCGUAGUCCGGAUUGGAGU